rnacentral:rRNA from 1 species
GAUGAACGCUAGCGGCAGGCUUAAUACAUGCAAGUCGUGGGGCAGCAGGACUGUAGCACUACAGUUGCUGGCGACCGGCAAACGGGUGCGGAACACGUACGCAACUUACCCUGAACUGGGGGAUACCCGGGGGAAACCCGGAUUAUUACCCCGUAUUAUAUUGGAUUGGCAUCACUUUAUUAUUAAAGCCCCGCGGGUUCGGAUUGGCCGUGCGGCUGAUUAGGUAGUUGGUUGAGGUAACGGCUCACCAAGCCUACGAUCAGUAACUGGUGUGAGAGCACGACCAGUCACACGGGCACUGAGACACGGGCCCGACUCCUACGGGAGGCAGCAGUAAGGAAUAUUGGGCAAUGGAGGCAACUCUGACCCAGCCAUGCCGCGUGGAGGAUGAAGGCCCUCUGGGUUGUAAACUUCUUUUAUAGGGGACGAAACCUGUGUAUUCUUACGCAGUUGACGGUACCCUAGGAAUAAGCACCGGCUAACUCCGUG